AAGUGUUAGUGUAUGUAUAUGACGUUUUUUAAUGAUGUUGAAUAUGUGUGUACUGUUUUUACAUAGAUUCGCUUUAAGCGGUGACAGUUGUCUAUUGGCUCUGGUGAUUUUAAAUUACUAAUAAUAAAUAGGCAACAAAAAUUUAAUCUUUGAACUUUAAAGAAAUGACAGUCUGGGAAAAAUAGAUCCAAUAAUGAAACAUUCUAUAAUGUUCCAGGUUUUUUAAUUAAUAAUGCUAAUUUUUAAAUCUCAACCAAUGGUAUUUAUUUUAAUGGGAAGCCAAAUCCAAAAUAACAUCAAACAAUAGCUUUCUAUACUGUCAAGUAUGUGGGUUUAUCCAUCAUAUGCAUGUUGCACAACCACUACUAAACUAAAGUAACACAUAUGCAGCAAGCAAAUUUUUAAAGCCAAACCAUUAUUGCCAAAACAUUUUAUUAAAAUGUUUACAAUGAAGUACAACAUCAUGCUGUAUUGCAAAAUUGUAACAUUGCCCAAUAAUUUGUUUUCAAUAAUGAAAACAACUUUUAUCUUGCUUAAUUUAUUUGAAAAUCCAGGAAAGUGAGCAAACCACUUAAAAAAUCUUGCCCAACCAAAUGGAAGGUAUUUUUCAUAACAAGCUUUUGGACCAAUCGACAUCUGUUCAGAUCACUCUGUUCAGCAGCAUCUGCAGCAAUAACAAAGAGGAAUAUCUGUAAACUUUGUUUAUAAUAUUGUUUCUUUUGUAUCUACAGAACUUCAGUUGGUAUCCUCACACUCGUUUGUUCAACCCUAAUUGUUGUUUGUCACGUUGUUAAUAAACUGCAUAAACAAAUCUCGUUA